UUUAACCCCGAGCAAAAACACAGUGAAACACGCUCUUAAUAAGAAGCUACAGCCUACAGGCUACAGUACAGAAAUUAGAAGUACACAUUACCCAAAACGUUUAAGAUGAAGUGCAAAGGCCCCGCUCAUUCCGAGUACUCAAUGCCGGAAUACAGCUGCUAACGACGUCGUUGAAAUCCCCCCUAGGCGUAUAGAGGACUUGAUAUAACUGUUCAAGUGGCGUUGGCCUUGUUUUACACUAUGGAAACAAUGAAUUAAAAAAAUUUAAGAGGAAGCUCUCAUCCGUCUUGUUUUGUGAAAAGGACUUUUGGACAGUGAUGGUGCAUGGAACUGCUUGAGUCUCAACUUCUGAACUUUUUCCAUGGUGUUAAAAUAUGCAUUGUGACUAAGCUUCUGCUUGCCAGUAACUGAACCUUAGAUUGCUUUCCAUGUGGAGGUACAUUAAUCAAUCCCUGUGCACUCUUCUUGACAAGGGACAGGUAAAUUACUUCCUCCGUCCCAUAAUACGAAGCUCAUUUCAACUGUAAUAUGUGUGUUAUCUACGUUACAGACUUGACAGGAUUUGUUACGUGAAAACUUUCUCUUAAUAUAAUUUGAGGAUUUCACAAUCAUGGCACAGACGCCGGGAGAAAUUGUAUUUUGUUGAACAGGGGACUAGUUAAAGUAGCCCCCCCAGGCCCCCUCCCCCAUUGCUUAAGUAGUUGUAUUACAGUUUGUUUCAUGGACAGUGGUGUGGUCUUUUCAUAGCACCAAACAAAUAGGAUCUGUUCUGGAAGGCGCAAACUCAACAAGGUAUUGAUUCUUGGUACAAGUGUAACCAGAUAUAUGGAUAUAUGCCUUCGGUGGGUGACUCAUCUACAUCUGCAUAAUGCACUUUCUUGCUACAAUAAUAGACUUGUUUCGGGCAUUAUUAGUUCCGGUAGCAAUUAGCUUGAAUUCUGGUUCUGAUUCUGAUUCCUAUUCUAGUAUAUAUAUGUAUAUAACUGGAAAUUGGCCAUGAGGUUGAUCGAGUUUUUCGACCUCUGAUAGGUGUAAAGUUAGCAGAAAAGAAAAUCAGGUUUAUUAGUAA